rnacentral:rRNA from 1 species
UGGGGAAUAUUGGACAAUGGGCGAAAGCCUGAUCCAGCCAUGCCGCGUGUGUGAAGAAGGUCUUCGUAUUGUAAAGCACUUUAAGUUGGGAGGAAGGGCAGUAAGCGAAUACCUUGCUGUUUUGACGUUACCGACAGAAUAAGCACCGGCUAACUCUGUGCCAGCAGCCGCGGUAAUACAGAGGGUGCAAGCGUUAAUCGGAAUUACUGGGCGUAAAGCGCGCGUAGGUGGUUCGUUAAGUUGAAUGUGAAAGCCCCGGGCUCAACCUGAGGACUGCAUCCAAAACUGGCGAGCUAGAGUAGGGCAGAGGGUGGUGGAAUUUCCUGUGUAGCGGUGAAAUGCGUAGAUAUAGGAAGGAACACCAGUGGCGAAGGCGACCACCUGGGCUCAUACUGACACUGAGGUGCGAAAGCGUGGGGAGCAAACAGG